AUUGAACGCUGGCGGCAGGCCUAACACAUGCAAGUCGAGCGGAUGAGAAGAGCUUGCUCUUCGAUUCAGCGGCGGACGGGUGAGUAAUGCCUAGGAAUCUGCCUGGUAGUGGGGGGCAACGUUUCGAAAGGAACGCUAAUACCGCAUACGUCCUACGGGAGAAAGCAGGGGACCUUCGGGCCUUGCGCUAUCAGAUGAGCCUAGGUCGGAUUAGCUAGUUGGUGAGGUAAUGGCUCCCCAAGGCGACGAUCCGUAACUGGUCUGAGAGGAUGAUCAGUCACACUGGAACUGAGACACGGUCCAGACUCCUACGGGAGGCAGCAGUGGGGAAUAUUGGACAAUGGGCGAAAGCCUGAUCCAGCCAUGCCGCGUGUGUGAAGAAGGUCUUCGGAUUGUAAAGCACUUUAAGUUGGGAGGAAGGGCAGUAAGUUAAUACCUUGCUGUUUUGACGUUACCGACAGAAUAAGCACCGGCUAACUCUGUGCCAGCCGCCGCCGUAACAC
rnacentral:rRNA from 1 species